UAUUCUGUUGUAAAAGAUUUUCACUCUUUAAUUUUUAGUUUACAGAAUU
rnacentral:tRNA from 1 species